AUAACUGUGAGGUAUGAAGCUUGCUUCCAAACAAUAUAAUUCCGGGUUAAGUCCCACUGCGUGGCAACUUGGGUACUUGUCUUCUACUUAUAGUCUCGGGCACCCAGUCUUGUGAGUGGUUUGGUAGACGGAAACUGAAAGAAGCUCAGUCGUGUGUGUGUGUGUG